rnacentral:rRNA from 1 species
UACGGGGGGUGCAAGCGAUGUUCGGAAUUAUUGGGCGUAAAGCGCGUGUAGGCGGCCUGCUAAGUCUGGUGUGAAAGCCUGGGGCUUAACCCCAGAAUUGCACUGGAUACUGACAGGCUCGAGGACGAGAGAGGGAAGUGGAAUUCCUGGUGUAGGGGUGAAAUCCGUAGAUAUCAGGAGGAACAUCAGUGGCGAAGGCGGCUUCCUGGCUCGUAUCUGACGCUGAGACGCGAAAGCGUGGGGAGCAAACAGG